rnacentral:misc_RNA from 1 species
AUACUGGACUUCGUCUGAGUACAACCAGCGAACCUGGUUUUCUUGCAACGGAGAUUCUGGGAGAGUUUGAUGUUUACCCAAGUUACGGAGAUCUAGAAGGGAGCUGGGCUCCACUGAAGAAAGACUGUCCAAGCGGGAAAGAAUGGAUUCAGGUGCAGUUUGCGGAGUCCCUGUACAUACAUCGUGUGGACAUCUACGAGACUAACGUCGCCGGGUUGGUGAAGACUGUGUCGGUGGGGAAGAACAACGGUACAUGGAGCAGUGUUUGGACAGCUUCGUCAGUGUCAGUGAUUACACACAGCAGAAUCUUCUCUCCAGAAUUCACGACGCCGAUAUUCUCGUCCGACCGAGUCAUGAUUGAAACAGAUUGUGCCCUGUCUUCAAAAUGGGUGGAAUUCGAUUCCAUCAAGAUAUUUGGACUCAAAUCCCCACCGCAGACCUCACGAUAAUCAGACUUCUCGAGAGCUCGGCAUUUACAAUUCCAUUUGGAUGUAUGGAUUUACUGACAAGUCUGUUAUUGAACUGUUGAGCGUGGUCGAUAUGUAUGGUAAGAGGAACAUCUAUGUCAGGCCCGUGUUAAGUUGUUUUAUUGAACACAUAAACUUAAAGCAAUUGUGUUUAAUACGGAUUUUAAUAAAUCAAUUUUUCUUGAAA